UGUUUUCUUAUUCCUAAUGAAAAUAUAACAUCUACUAUUUAUAUUAAUAUUUAUUUUUCUUGUCACUCAUUUAGGGGGGAAUAAAGGGUUUCAUUUAAAUUUCUUUUCUCAUUCCUAUUUGAUGUUUUCAUUUACAAUUGGAGGUCUAGUUUAUGUCUUCCAUAAAAUGCAUUACCACACAAUCAUCAUCUAGAGAUCAACCUUUUCUUUAUCAAUUUAUUAGUUACUUAACUAAUUUAAUAUUAUUGUUUGAAUAUGAGGAGGGAGAAUCCUAAUAGAUUUCAAAGGUCUUCAAAAAUU
rnacentral:lncRNA from 7 species